GACGAACGCUGGCGGCGUGCUUAACACAUGCAAGUCGAACGGUAAGGCCCUUUCGGGGGUCCACGAGUGGCGAACGGGUGAGUAACACGUGGGUGAUCUGCCCUGCACUUUGGGAUAAGCCUGGGAAACUGGGUCUAAUACCGGAUAGGACUACGCGAUGCAUGUCGUGUGGUGGAAAGCUUUUGCGGUGUGGGAUGGGCCCGCGGCCUAUCAGCUUGUUGGUGGGGUGAUGGCCUACCAAGGCGACGACGGGUAGCCGGCCUGAGAGGGUGUCCGGCCACACUGGGACUGAGAUACGGCCCAGACUCCUACGGGAGGCAGCAGUGGGGAAUAUUGCACAAUGGGCGCAAGCCUGAUGCAGCGACGCCGCGUGGGGGAUGACGGCCUUCGGGUUGUAAACCCCUUUCAGCAUAGACGAAGCGUAAGUGACGGUAUGUGCAGAAGAAGCACCGGCCAACUACGUG
rnacentral:rRNA from 1 species